ACAACUGCCUGGGGAACGCGCAUGUGCAAUACAAAACGCAGAGCAUAGGAACAAAGAGCAGUUGGCCACAAAGGCGCAUGUGCAUUGAUGGCGUCCGCUUCCCUUUUGGCCUAAAUGUAUGCAUUCCAGGGGGAAAGAGUUCCAGUUAUUGGUGGCAGCUGGUAGUGGUGCUGGACUCGGGACAUCCACAAGGCUGGAGGCAGCGAUAUAGCAAAGGCUGGCACUUUGGCGGAAGAAGGUGCAUGGAACCUAGGUGAUGAAGCUGUGUGAGGCUGCACAGGCUGCUGGCACCACCAUCGACCUUCAGGUGUUCAAAUGCUGAAGUCCAUGUGUACUGAGCAGCCACUGGCUAAUGAUUGCUACGACUCCGUGUCCAUAUUCUUGUCUACAUUAGGGACUGGAGGGUCUGCAGACCAAUUCAACUUCCAGGGACCUUAGUUGGCUCCACCUUUUGGAUUGUCCUGCUGGAUCAAGGACUGGUCCUAGCAGGCUAGGGUCCUUCUGUCUGACACCUUCCCACCUCUUCAUCAUGCCUUCCUUCCACAGAUGAGCAGAACCUAUGUCUGAAGAUGCCACCCAUCUUGGUUGGAAGAUACAGAGAAAACAGCUGAAUGCUUCCUCCAUGCUGGCUAGCUUUCAUAGUGCCAGAAGAUACCACACUGGCUACUGAAGGAGAAAAGCCUCCGGCAGUCUCACCUAGCUGUGAUCCUCCUGGGCUAGAUACACCCUCUUUGUUACAAUGAAAAACUGUUAUAUGAGCAACCAACUACACUCUGAUUACAUUUGAGUCCUUUCCACAGAAAAGAACCCACACACGGUACUGUAAAUCUGGUCAAAAGCACAUGCUUGGGGACAUCAUAGGACAUAGGGGGAACUUAAUACUGUUGUCUAGUUAAAUGGACAUAGCAUCUAAGGAUCUU